AAACUUUUUUAAGAUGGAGUAUAGGAGUAUUAGAAACAUUAUAAUUAGGUUUGUCUGAUAAGAUGGCAUCAUUGUUUUUAAGCUUUAGAAAAAAGUACCUUUAGUAUAAUGGCCUUUCAAGAGAUUUUGCUAGAUAAGCAUCUCCCGAAAUAAAAAGAUUUUUAAGAAAGCAAAUUAAGAGGUAUUCGAUGUAGGAAUUCUUGAAUAAACUUUGUUAAGGAUGUGAUAUGCAACUUCGAGUUUUAAGAUAGCUGGUUGUUCGAAAAAUGCUUUUAAGUGCAGCUUCAGCAUUUGGUGUUAUACGCACCUUGACAGUUUAUCGCGCCAAUAGUGCUGAAAGUGAAAAACUCAGCUAAAGGUUGAGUUUAAAAUGUUUUCUAGGUUAUUUAAUUUUUAAAAAGAGAAAUUGGGUUUAUGCUGCCUAUUUUGUUAUGAGUGUUUAACAACUUAUCUUUUUUAGAGUAAAAGAAUGAUUUUUAAGAAAUGAGGCAUUGAAAAUCGUUCACCUAUCCAGGAUAGCGUUUGAUUGAUUAUUAUGC
rnacentral:rRNA from 1 species